rnacentral:tRNA from 1 species
GGCUCGGUAGCUUAGUUGGUAAAGCGCUCGUCUAGCAUACAAGAGUCCUGGGUUCAAAUCCCACCCGAGCAC